UGCAAUCUUGGUGUCUACACAGAAGGAUGG
rnacentral:piRNA from 1 species